GCUGGCCCGUGACACUUGCAUCUUCUUCUCAGGCACAAAUUUAGGGUUCACCCGCUUUAGGACUCUUCCAUCCUUUAUGUUAAUAACAAUUGCAGUUCUGAGAUUUUUAUAUACGCUUUGUCACUAAUCUCAAAGUCCGUUUAUGUCCAGAUCACUUUAUCUUCUAUCUCUUACCUCCGAACCGUUACAAGUCGCAUAGAUUGGCAUCAUUAACACAUACUUAACUCUUCCUCACCAGUAGGACCACGAUCAAGAAUUCAAUGAAUCUUAUUCAACUUCCAGUCGGUGAUUCUCUCCUAUAAAAAGAUGGAGGUGAAGAUCUUAUCUGCCACCAUUCAGUAUGAAGCAGGCUUUGUCGAAAAGCUAUGGCAAAGAUUCUCUGCCAGGAGAUGGAGUUUAGAUGAGGAACUGGAAAAGCUAUUCCCUUUAGUCACGAAAUAGAAGUAAUUCAACUCAAGUUGCGUGAUCAAGCUAGAUACGACAAAUUGUUACAGUCACACGGCGGAUUAUUAAAUAUCCCGUCGAGGAAACUUUUGAUCCUUUCGUUGUUGGAUCAUACUACACGAAAUUGCGGCUGUGAUCUCUCUCAAGAGCCUUUUACGUACAGAUUGACACAUGAGGUGAUGUUUUGUGGGUUAGUUGUGCUAUUUGCAAUGGUGCCCCUAAACCAGUGAACUCCAAGUAAAUUCUCUGAUUUGAGUUAAUGUGCUUCUUGCAAUGGCUGCCCUCAAACAAAAGAGAUUCAGUUGACUUACUCUGAUCCAGGGAGCUCAGUAACAACGACACCAAUCUCAUGUUCUGACCAAAGAUGCAGCUGGGGUGUUCAGUCCUCUAAUUCAUGCUCUUCUGCUCAGAACAACAUUUGCGCUUACACGUUUCAGUAUGGGGAUGGAAGUUGCACCUCAGGGUUCUUCGUCUCUGGUGUCUUGCAGUUCGACAUACGUUUGAUUACUAUGACUCUUGGCCAGACAUAUUGUCUCAUUUUUGAUUAAGUUCUCUGCAUUUCAGUGUUUUCUUCUUGCAUCACUUGAACAGUGAUGAGCCCAAGGCUCAAGCUUCUUACUAAUGUCAUCUUCCCACCUGGCUCAAAUAAAUGUUGUUAAUAUACAUGUGGUCUCUGAGUUUAGAUUUAUGAACUAUGGAACACCUCUUACAAAUUGUUCCAAAGGAACACGUUUGAGACUUUUUGUGUAUUUCUA